UACGGAGGGUGCAAGCGUUAUCCGGAAUCAUUGGGUUUAAAGGGUCCGCAGGCGGGAUUGUAAGUCAGUGGUGAAAUCCGGCAGCUCAACUGUCGCACUGCCAUUGAUACUGCAGUCCUUGAAUUUGAUGGGAGUGGGCGGAAUAUGUCAUGUAGCGGUGAAAUGCUUAGAUAUGACAUAGAACACCGAUAGCGAAGGCAGCUCACUAUGUCUGAAUUGACGCUCAUGGACGAAAGCGCGGGUAGCAAACAGG
rnacentral:rRNA from 1 species